rnacentral:rRNA from 1 species
UACGAAGGGGGCUAGCGUUGCUCGGAAUCACUGGGCGUAAAGCGCACGUAGGCGGAUUGUUAAGUCAGGGGUGAAAUCCUGGAGCUCAACUCCAGAACUGCCUUUGAUACUGGCGAUCUUGAGUCCGGGAGAGGUGAGUGGAACUGCGAGUGUAGAGGUGAAAUUCGUAGACUUCGUCAAGAACACCAGUGGCGAAGGCGGCUACCUGGCAUGAUACUGACACUGAGGCGCGAGAGCGUGGGGAGCAAACAGG